rnacentral:rRNA from 1 species
CAAAAACAUGUCCUUUUGUUUAUGAUUUAAGGUCAGGCCUGCCCAAUGAUUAUUUUUAAUGGCCGCAGUAUUUUGACUGUGCAAAGGUAGCAUAAUCAUUAGUUUCUUAAUUAGAAGCUGGAAUGAAUGGUUUGAUGAAAAAUUAACUGUCUCAGUUUAAUUGAUUUUGAAUUUUAUUUUUAAGUGAAAAAGCUUAAAUUUGUUAAGAAGACGAGAAGACCCUAUAGAGUUUGAUUGUUAUUGAUAUUAAAAUUUUAAGGUUUAUUUUUAUUUUAAUAUUUAUAACUAUUUUGUUGGGGUGACAUUAAAAUUUAAUAAACUUUUACUUUUGAAAACAUUAAUGCAUGAACAUAUGAUCCUAUUUUUUAGAUUACAAGAAAAAAUUACCUUAGGGAUAACAGCGUAAUUUUUUUGGAAAGUUCUUAUUGAUAAAAAAGUUUGCGACCUCGAUGUUGGAUUAAAAUUUAAUUUGGGUGUAGAAGCUUGAAUUUUAGGUCUGUUCGACCUUUAAAAUUUUACAUGAUCU